AUUAAUUCAAUAAACUACAUCAUUACAUUCCAAAUCAUAUGUUAAUUAAUUCAUUAAUUGGAAAAAUAAAAGGGGAUUAGGGUUGUUACUUAUGGCUAUCGGUGUUCUUCUUCAAUCGUGAACUCACGCAGACAGCGGUGGCUUCCCUCCUUCAUCAUCCAUGGCCGAAACUUCUUGAAGCCUCGUCACCGAUCACUUCAACUCAUCUCUUAGUUCCUCAAUAGUUCAGACGUGACGGCGUCAUUCCCUCCAACACAAAUUCUCAUCGCACAUCUCUCAAUUCAUCUUUGAACUCGCCUCUCCGAUCUCUCCGUCCUCGAUUGUGGUUCACGUAAAAAUAAAAGACUGGUGGAAUAGUUCGGGUUGAGAUAUGCGAUGCCUUACUCGCCGGAGAAAGUCAUGCGCCUCUUUCAUGUCGUCGAUGAGAAAAGCACUCCGACGUUACCUCCAGGAUGUUGUUCGUGAUGGUGAUGCCGUUGUCGUUUACAGGUGAUGACAGGCGGGGGAAGAUCAAAUUAAAUUAAGAACGAAAACGUUACGUGUUGAGUCGUUUGCGAUACGAUACAAUGAUUUGAAGUUGAUUGAAUAAAGAUGAAGGUUGAAUCGUCUGAAGAUUGAUGAUGGAGCAGGUUGAAGAUAUUAUGGAGAAUUGAUGAUGGAGAUUUUUGUGAUGAAGAUGAAGAUUCGUGGUGAUGAAUAAAGGAAUUGAGGAUUGGAGGAUUUUCUAUGGUGAAAUUGAAUUCAGUAUGACUGUGGAGGAUCAAGAAGAUGGAGAUGAUGAAAGUGUGAAGAGUCUGCGGAAGAUGAGAUGAAUAUUGGAGAAACAUUUGUUACGUUAUCCUCAAGGCGAGUCCUCUUUUCUGAAUUUUCUUUUUUUGUCACCUACUGUUAUGAGUUAGUCUCUUCUUUCUCCUUUCUGAAUUUUCUGUUAUGAGUUUUCAGUUUCUGUUAAAGUUUCUCCUCAAAAUUCUGUAAUUAGUGAACCAGUUUAAAGCUGAGACGGUUUCGGUUUUAUCCUCUGAAUAGCUGCUGGUGAACCCCUCUUUUUAUAUGGUGCAGGCUUUGGUUUUAUCAAGUGCAGGUUUUUUAUUCUCAAAAGUGUGGAUGCGACUCUUAACCAUGGAUGCAACGUGUUGUGGGAACUUGAAGAUUAGUAAACUUAGGUUAUGCUUUUGUUUUGUCUGUGAUGUAAAGCUCUUUGGUUAAUCCUUAUUUUUGUAAUUUGAUUUUUUGUAAUAGCCAUGUGUGGAGUUUUGAAUGAAUUUGAUGAUGUUGAGUGGAACUCGAAACGGUAUUGUAAUCUUGUAACUUUUGAACUCGAAGACACAUUUCCAAUAUGCAAAUCAUUUCUUCUCUUUUUUCA